CCUACGGGGGGCAGCAGUGGGGAAUAUUGGACAAUGGGGGGAACCCUGAUCCAGCCAUGCCGCGUGUGUGAAGAAGGCCCUCGGGUUGUAAAGCACUUUCAGUGAGGAAGAACGCCUGGUGGUUAAUACCCAUCAGGAAAGACAUCACUCACAGAAGAAGCACCGGCUAACUCCGUGCCAGCAGCCGCGGUAAUACGGAGGGUGCGAGCGUUAAUCGGAAUUACUGGGCGUAAAGCGCGCGUAGGUGGCUUGAUAAGCCGGUUGUGAAAGCCCCGGGCUCAACCUGGGAACGGCAUCCGGAACUGUCAAGCUAGAGUGCAGGAGAGGAAGGUAGAAUUCCCGGUGUAGCGGUGAAAUGUGUAGAGAUCGGGAGGAAUACCAGUGGCGAAGGCGGCCUUCUGGACUGACACUGACACUGAGGUGCGAAAGCGUGGGUAGCAAACAGGAUUAGAUACCCCGGUAGUC
rnacentral:rRNA from 1 species